AGUUGGCAGCGCCUUACCCAGGAGGGCGGCGGCGGAGUCCGCCGGGUGGCCAAGACGCAGUCCCCCGAGAAGCAAGACGCAGCGCAGCAGCCUGGGCCUGGAGCCCCAGACGCUGCGUCACAGCUUCUCCUGCUGGCGCUAGAGGCGAAGCAACUGCAAAAGUUUCCGCAGAACUUCACCGCGUGGCGAAACCCGGGCUGCUGCGUGGCCUGGCCUGCCGAGGGCGGGGAUGCGCGACUGACUCAGGUGGCCAGACUUGGGCCCCUAGCAUCCCCUCCAUCCUGCCUCUGCUGCCAGGUUUUAGGCGCUAAGCAUCAGCUAUUUCCUUUCCUGGGACCCCCUCCCCUAGUCUGGUGGGGAAGAGGAGGAGCCCAGAACUCCGCCACCCGCGCGGAGGUUGGGGGAGGGGAAGGCAGAGCUCCUGUUGCUUGUGAGCAAACAAUUCUUGAUCAUCUUGUUUCAGCAUGUGUGUGACUCCUGUGUCAGUGUCCCUGGCACAAAGAAUGUAACACUUGAGCUGAUGGGGGCCUCUGCAUCCAGAGACCUGGGACAAAAGCGGCCCACUAGGUGUCCCAGAAGACCUACAUCAUUCCCACCAGCUGGGCUGCUGGCCGGGUAGCAAAGAAAAAAACAGAAAUUUCAUGAAGACAAUCCAGUUAGUUAGUAUUAUGCGACAGGUCAGAUGGCAGCAGAGAACUGGACUCAGACUCUGGAUUUUGGAGGGCAGCCGACACCUACCUCUGAUUUCCCCAACAGUCUUGAAAGGGAUGCUUGGGCAGUUCAGCUGAGAACAGGAUUGGAGUCCAACAGCACAAAACAGACUCACCUUCUCCCAUCACAAGUGAUCAAAACACUGUAAAACUGUAAUAUAAGUUUUAUUGUUUCCUGGACUAGCCACUGCAGGCUUUUUUGGAAAUAACAAACAUGACUUUUCAUGACUCCAGCUGUAGGUAAUCUUUCCAUAUCUCCACAAUAAAGGCUCUGCUCCAGGGAGGCUCCACCUUGGCCCUUCUGAGCUCUGCUCACUGAGAUUUUUGGCUUAAUAUAGCUCACUAAUUGCAGGUCCCCAAAAGAAGCACCCGAAGGUCCCUGGAAAGGUUCCACUAGCCACAGCCCUGACAGUCAGCCAAGGGAACAAAGCCCCUUACCCUAAGGCUAACUUGAGCAGGGUUGCAGAUUGGCUUCUGGAAAUUGUUCACUGCUUCACUGGCCCUUUGGGGCCUCUCUUCUUGGUUUGAUCCUUGGGAUCCUAAGGUCCUGGAUACAGCUGGCUAUGCUAGGUAGGGCUGCCUUCUCUUGACACCUCCCUCCUUACAAGUCUUGUCAUCUUUGAGGGAUUUGAGAAUGCCAGCUAUGGGUGAGCUGCCCUUCCCUAUCUGAACAGCCUAACUUCAGGAUGCUUCUGGAACAGAAUUGGGUCCCUCCUCCACCAGCCAGAGUAGGCUUUGGUACUUUGGUACUACCCAGCAGGCAGAGUAAAAGCCACCACCCUGACAUCACACGGGUUCCACACAGGACCCACUGUGUAUUCACACACAUUAUCAGUCCGCUCCUGUCCCCUCACUAAACAUCAUCCUGUGCCAACUGCUGUGAAAUUAAAGAUAAGCUAACACA